rnacentral:lncRNA from 1 species
AACCGUUGAUCUUAUGCAAUCAACGCUGAAAUUAAAUUCUCUUUUAAUAUAAUUAAUCCCCAAAAUAAAAAAACGCUAAAUGAAAUCAUUCCCCGACCUCCCAUUUUUGCUUCUUUUCAUCUCUCUCAAAAUUCCAACCACCACCGCCUGCCGCCGCUGGAGCAGACAACUAAAUGACCAUUGAUCUCCCUAACCAGCUCUUCUCUCUCCCCAUAUCCCUCUAUUUGGGGAACGCCGCCUUCCACCGAUGAUGCCACUAGUCCGUCGAACCAAUGAAAACCAACGCCCCGCACCACUGGCCGGCGAAAUCAACCGGCGAACCCCACUGCUCUAGCCGCGCUGCCUCUUCACCUAAAACCCUUCAUAUCUCCUCCUUACACCGCUGCCAGCUACCACUAGACAAUGAAACCAAGCCGCCAACAAAACUAGCCGCGCCUUCCGCCUCUUCUCCCUCACGCCGCCACUCCAAACUCUGUCUAAUUAACACCGAAAAAGAGUAAAGUCCAUGAUGAAUUCUCAGAAUCUGUCCUUGGUUUGUUGAUUUGUUUCAGUUUCCUUCUUCUACUCUUUUUUCUUCUCACUGAUUUUUAGAUUCGAAAUAGGCAUAGUUUGGCUUUGAAUUUUGAGUUGAUUCUUAAUAUUUCAUGUUUGUUUAUGUAUUUAGAUCUACAUACAUAAAAAAAGCCCAAUUUCUUUGAACUUCCAUUAAUCCUAGAUUUCUCUAAAUUUAGGACUGAUUUUCUAGAACUUGCUAUUCUGUCUCAAUUUCGUGAGUUUGUUCUUUAAUUUCAUAAGAUUCAAAAUUCGUGGACAUCUAUUAAUGGUUCCCUUCUAGAAUUUACGAAUUCUCGUUCCUUGAUAUUUUUAUAUUGUUAUGUGAAUUAUUCUGGUCCUUUGAUACAUUUGAUACAUUUGAAUUAGUUGUUUAGUUUCUUACACUUCACAUAUUUUCAAAUACAUCUUGAUCAGUUUGUUUCACUUUAAUUCUUUCUGAAUUAGAAUCACAGUGAGAGUGUGACUGGCUCUGAAUACCGCUUAUGGUAAGUCAAUAGAUAUAAUUUCUUGAUUAGAUCCUCUUGAUAUGGUGGUAUUUUAAUUGAUUUUGGUUGCUAAUUGAUCCCUUUCCUUUACCUUGCUUUGUUACUUGACUAUUCAUGGAAACUUUCUUCUUUGUUAUUGAUGUCUUUUCCUUUGUAACAUUUGGCAGUUUUAGUAUUUGGUUAAUUAUGAAAAGUUUGAUAUGCAGUUUUAGUACUUGGACCUUGAUUGAUUUUCUGCCUACGUGCUUAAGGAAAAUAUCCUCACUAAUUGAUUUUCUUUUCCUUUACUCCUUUAGGAUCACUUGAUUAAUUAUGGCAACUAAGUGUAAUUUUUUUUCUUUAAUUGAUUCAUUUUAUUAAAAGAAAAAGAAAUUUUCAUUACUUGAUCUUGGAAUAUCUUUGUUUCGUCUUUAUUUCCAUAAUUAAUAUUCUCAAUAUUCCCCUUUCCUUUAAUGCAUUACCACUCUUUUAUUAUAUAAACACAACCCUUUUCUUCUAUUAGGGACAACUUUUUAACUCCUAUUUUCUCUAUACAAAAAAUACCAGCUUUGAACGAUACUUCCUCUUCUCUUUAACAACUUUUCAUCCUCUACCUCUCUCUUUAACAUCUUUGAGCAUUGCACACUCUCUCUCUAGAAUACUUUAAAGUUCUCAUAAUCAAGGGAGGGAUUUUGAUUUCUAUGUGCUAUUUUAUUGAUACUACUCUCCAUUUUGUGUGCUACUUCAAAGUUCAAUUUUUCUUCUAUUAAUUUUGCUAUUAACAGGUUAGUCUCUAUCGACGUGUAUUUUAAUUCUUAUAUGGUGAUUCUUUAUAAUCUAAACUUGGAAAGCAUGCAGAUAUUCUGUAUUUGUGUUCCUUAGAAUCAUGUGGCUACCACAUGUCUACCAAAAUAUGUAUGUUUGAUUUUUUGUACUUGAAUAUUUUUGCUAUAUUUAACAGGUUCUUGGAUCAAAAGUAAGAGAAGAGUCAUUGUGGAAUUUGGGUUAUUUGGAGAUCUUCUAAUCUUAAUUUUUUUGUUAUUUAUUAUCUUGAUUUGUAAUAACUAUCGUAUAAACGCUAUGUAUGAUAAGACUAUGGGGACUGCUUAUGGGGCCCCGAGACUAUGUGAUUUGAAUAAAUUAUUUUAUCACUUAAAGCAAAAUAUUUUAGGAUUAUUAAUUAAUUUGUUUUAUCACCUAUAAAUCAUGUUUUUGAUGUAUUAAUUAAUUUUCGACAUAUAAAAUUAAGUUUGGACGAGUCAAAUGAAUUAAUAGCAUGUUUGAUUAAUUUUCGUCAUAUUAUAAUUAAGCUUCAACAUGUCUAUCUAAUUUUUCUGCAUGUUUAAAUUAAUUUUCAGCACAUAUAAAGUAUAUAUUUUCCAGCAUAUAAUUAUUUUUCAGCAUUGGAAUUUAUUUUCCAGCCCAUUUUAAAAUUAAUUUUCAGCAUUUUAAUUAGGCUUAGCAUAUUUUGGUUCAAACCGAAAAAUCAAACUGAAAUUUAAUUUGGUUUCGAUUUUUUGGUUUUUAGAUUGGUUUCGAUUUGUAAUUUUUAAAAUUCAGUUUAAAGGUUUGGGUUUUGGUUUUUCAAAAAAAUAUUUCGGUUAAACCAAAAAACUAAAAUUUUAUAAAUUAAUAUAUAAUAUAUAUAUUUUAUUAUAUAUAUUCAGUAAUUACAAUUACAGAUUCACAAUUCACAAACCACAUUAUAUACGUAAUACGCCGCAGCCAACCCUAGUCCCUAAAUCCCUAUUACCUAUGUAG